rnacentral:rRNA from 1 species
UUUUAAAUGGAGACUCGUAUGAACGGCAAAACCUUUUCCAGCUGUCUCCUUUUCUACCCUUUUAAAUUUCUCUCUGUGUGAAGAAGCACAGAUACGCAAGAAAGACGAGAAGACCCUGUCGAGCUUUAGCCACUAAGUGAAUAAUAUUACCCAUUAAAUAUCACCCAAAGGCUUUGGUUGGGGCAACCAAGGAGAAAAAAAAUCCUCCAGAACAAACAGAAGAAAACCCUUCACUGAUAACUUCCCAAAGAACCAAAAAUUGGCAUUCGGAAAAAGUUACCGCAGGGAUAACAGCGUAAUCCUCUCUGAGAGUCCUCAUUGACGAGAGGGUUUGCGACCUCGAUG